AAGCAGGACAAUGGAACUUUUCCA
rnacentral:siRNA from 1 species